GGGCUACUCCUUGGCGCUUGCGCGCUGUUUUGAUGAAGAUUCGCACCUCUAUCAAAACGGGUAACCCCGCCUCUUGGCAAGGCCUUACUGUCAGAUCAAGUCUGAAGUUCUACACAUUACAGCUCGCCGAGGAAGUAAACCGCCCCUCUCGGGUGUUUUUGAACCGGCCUCUUAUCGAAAACCGCUGGUAGCCCGCCGAGGCUUGGCGCUCGCUU
rnacentral:sRNA from 1 species